GGAUUACAGGAGUGAGUCACACCGCGCCCGGCCUGUGCUGCUCUUAUUAAGCAACUGCCUCAUAUGAGGCUCUAAAUAGCUUCUUUUAGUGUUUGAAACCUCAUAAACUGUAGUCAUGGCAACUGGUGUCUGAUCUAGGUGGGAGCCAGCUUCUAAGGUAACUGGACAUCCAGCAGAUCACUCCACAGCUUUGCUCCCAGCCUGUCCACCUCACCCUCGGCCAACUUCCCCUGAGCCUGCUGCUGUCUCCUGAGCCCACUGUGAGAUCCAGAUAGAUACCCACUGAGGAGGAAGCAGGAUGGAGACAUGGGAUCAGGCAUUGCUUUCUUACUCUCUUGGAAGUUUAGGAUAUUUCACAGUUCUGAAUGUUAGCCACUGAAAAUGCCAGUAGAUGAUGAAGCCUCUGAAGAUGACACGGAUUCACUUUCCUCAAACAGCCCAAGAACCUUUAUUUUCCAAUAAGAGAAUAUAACAAUUUCUGUACACUAUGGAAGAGUUUGACUUGGUGAAAACCUUACACAAAACUUCAUCUUCUGUAGGAUCUGAUGAAAAUUCUCUUCAUUCUCUUGGACUGAACUUAAAUACUGAUAGGUAAG
rnacentral:lncRNA from 1 species